AUUAGUCUGUUCACUCUCACUGGAUGGAGGUGGAGUUAAAUUCCCAAAGGAUUACUUCAUCAUCUCAACUCUUAUUACAGAGUAGCAGAAGAGAGACACGGUCGUACGCCGGAAAAAAAUCGUGCACGUUAUUAAAGACCCCGGAAUGGAGGUUAAAAACAGGCUGGUAUACACUACAGACGGCAGAUACGGUGACUAGACCAAGCGAACAAUGCUUUUCCCAGUCGGCAGCAGGUAUAGUAGUUUUUAAUUCUCUAUUUAAUUUUUAGUUCUGUGAUUGAUGGGCGUGGGGAGACAGCAAGGGAAUGCGCAAGAUAACUGGAUUGGUCAUUUGAAUAGUGGCAGUAUUGAUCAUCGUUCCGAUUCAACUAAUACUACUGAAAUAUCCAAAUGAGGAGGAGAGGGAACCUAAAUCUAAAGAGAUGAGAGAAAAGCCAUAUCUAUAGACAGGAAAGUUCCAUGCGAGAGGGAAGUCUAACAAUUAGUGGCGUGAGAUAACGAUUAUUAGCGUUCUUUAAAAGCCCUCUGACACAACCGGAAAAUAAGAUAUUAACUAGGGAUUUACAAACCCUGGGCUUAUAGUUGUAAGGUAAGACCUAAUAUCUGAUUCAAAAGUCAAAGCUAUUGAUAAGAUUUCCAUAAAAGAGACCCACACAUGGUCAGACAGAAAAGCACUAAAAGUAAUUAAGUAACGGUAAAUUACAAAUUUAUAGAAGUACACGCACAUAGAAUUAAAAUUAUAUAUAGAAAGGCAUAGAUAAGUGAUUAAAUAUCAUAGCUAAGUAACGGUAAGGAUUUUUUAGAAAUUCCUCAAAAGAAGUGUCGGAAACUAGCGGGAGAUUACCGUUAUAGGAGCACAAAGAGAAUGGAAGGGAUGGAAUGGAAGCUGAUAUUACGAAUAUUGCCAGGAAGGGUUUUAAAUUAGGACGAUUUUCUGGGAAUUCCCGGUGUCGAAGUUUUGCGACUACGGACAAUUAUAAUAAUAAUGUAUUGAGAGGGGAGUCGUAUUGAGAGAAAAAAAGGCAUUAAAAAAUAAUGGCGAGACAAUACGCUAUUUUGCCCAAAAUGAUCUGGUGGAAGGAUGUAUUGAGAUGGGAGUUGUGUUUAAAUAAAUAUAUCAUAGAAGAAAAAGUUACCUAAAGUUAAAUGUAGUGAAUAACGUAGAGAUACGAUACAAUGUCGUGCUAUCCGGACAUUAUAGCUAUUUAUGAAUCGACUGACAUAUGAUAAAUUUAGCACAAAAAAAUGGUACGUUCAGAUGUUAGGGUAUAUGGUAAGUUGAGCAGUUGGGUUGGUUUUACUUUGAUGAUUAGAAUUUAAAACUGAACGCAAUCUGAAUAGGGAAUAUAUAUUUUACAGAGGCAGGCAGAUGUGUGAUGACGUUUCACGUUGAACAACAUCGUUCCUCAAAUUUAAACAGAGAAAAGGGGUUGUGGCAUUUAGAGGGAAAAUGCGUGCAUUAUAGCUUAGAGUUACUUUUCAAAAGCGGCCAAAAGUUCCAAAUACAUUUCUUUUAAAAAGGAUAAGUAUCGUAAAGAUAGACUGAAAAGAUGCUACAGCUUGCAGCGGAAGUGCUAGGCACUCAAUGGGCUAUAUGGUGCAACACUUUGGACUAUACAAUAGGUAAGAAUAGUUUCAUCGUAAAAAGUUGUGAUUGUUUUUCAGAGUAUUGGUUUUUUGUUAGGUAACGCCUGGGAAUUCGAACUAGAAGUUAACGUAUCCUAAAAAACACUAUAUCUAUUUUUCUUUACUUUUCUUUACGGGGAAAAAGUAUAUGUCUUAUCUUAAAGGGACAGUGCACGUCAAUCACAGUGGUUUGAGUGUAUGGCAGUGUAUGAAAUAUUUUGGGAAGACAAUUUGAAGAUAGACUGAAUGAGUUUCAUGAAACAUCGAGAGAUUUAAAACAAGUGAAUAACUUAUUGGAAAUAGAGGCGUAAUUAAAAUACUAAGUCAAAGACGAGACAGUUACUUAGAUCAAAAUGAAUUCUAAAUAAUAACGAAGAGACAAUUACGAUCUAUACCCAUCGAAAUAUUUUAUCAAAUUAGCGAUGGGGUGAUAAAUUAUAAUUCAAGAUUUUAACAGAUGUGAUAAAUUAGGUUUGGUUUAUCGAACAACAAUUAUUUACAAUUCAUUGAAAGUCGCUACGAAUUGGGCUGAGGUUGAGCGCUUGAUGAUGACGUCACUAGCGAGGCACUUUUGUCGCUACGGACUGGGGGUAACGGAGAAAAUGAUCUUUUAGAAGUAAAAUGCGUGCAUUAUUGUUUUGAGUCACUUUUCAGAAGUUGAUAAAAAUGUCGAAAUACAUUUUUAAAAGGAGUAUGUAAGUCGUCAGGAAAGAUGCUAAAAACUAGCAGCUGAUUCGCUAGGUGGGUAUCAUUGAUUUGUGGUAUUUAUUUGGACUGUAAUUAGGCCAUGAGAAAGGGAGAUUGAAUGUCUGAAUCGUAAAACAUCAUGAUAAUGGAUUCUGAUGGUUAUUGAUUCCUGGUAUGAUUGUUUAUGUAACACCAGUGAAUUUGAGCACAGUUUCCAUUAUGUGGAACAAUGUUAGGGUAUUAAUGUGGAAAAGCAACCUCUAUAGAAAAACAUAAUUGCAUAUGUUUCGGGAAACUAGCUAGGUUGAAUUUGGUUAUUCAAGCUUUUCCCCUGAUACGUAGACAUGUGUAACAGGGGCAAGUUGGGGUUUGUUUGUUUUUUCUUGAGGAACUAACAGAUGUAAACGUGAGUCUCUGAGUAAUAUUGCCAUCUGAAGCAUUAUAAGUAGUGAGUUUUCGUAUAGUUUGUUUUUAGCUGAUAAAAGUGGUUUGUUUAUUUGUUUGCUAGUUAUGGAAUUUUAGGGUUUGAUUUAACUUAGUUAAACAUUGUGUUCUGGCGUGUUUAGGUAGAAUUCUUUAUUCCGGGACGGAGGGGAGUUACCUAAAAUAAGUCAAUUAAAGGAGCCAUGGGAGAAUGCGAAUGCAUAUUUAUUAAAUAUCAGGGAUUAAAUUACGAAUUUCUUACACUGAGAAAUGUACGACAUUUGCGGCAGAGGGAAAAAGUAAUACAAUUAACCCGAUAACAUUAUUGUAUCUAAGGAUAGCGUGUUCAUUUAAGUAAUCAUAUACAUUGACGUUGUUUAAAACUUAUGAUUAAUGAUUUGAGUUAAAGGGGAAUUAUCAUUAGGUUUGGUUUAUAGUUCACGUUUGAGUUUCUGAAUCGAUAUAGUGUAAAUGAAUACUAACUAAGUGUUUUGGGUUUUCUCCGGGAAAAUGGAUAUUUCACUGUCUCUAUCUGGAAUGUUUCUAGGGCCUAUACUCUUGGGGAGAGUGAGUGAAAAUGAGGCCAUAAACUACCACAUUGGAGGGGGCCUGGAGGAAGUUUUUUGUUUCAGUGCAAGGGUAUUAAAGGUAUUUUCAAGGGGCACUCAGCACAUGGGAUUUUAAUGAGUUUUAUUUUCUGAGUUUUCAUUACCCAGGCAAUGUCCUUUGAUAAAGGAAUGUUCUGGGAACAUGGAAAUAAAAAAAUGUUUGGAACUAGUUGAUUAUUGUUUGCAAAUUGUUUUAUAUAGUGAAAACCACUGCUUUGAAGGGUUUUGUAUGACCUAUGACCUUCUGAUGACUUUCCGUUUUGGCUUGAUCACCCGCAUUGGAAAGCCAUUUGGAUAAUAAAUGUAUGGUCAUUUGUAAUACUGCUUUCAAAAUAAUUUGUGUAAUUGGUAAAUAUGUUCUUUAGCCAUAUUUCUCAUUUGGACAUUGUGAAGGGCAUUGCUUUUAACUAAGGGUAUGCUGCUUUAAGUCUAUUUUCCUAUGACCAUAGGGGUUAAAUCAUUUUUCUCUGGAGUUUUUUUUUCAGUUUAGUGAUUUGAAUUUGAUUAGGUUAGCUGAAAUGUUGUUUUAUAUUUGUUUUCAGUUUUGUUUUACAUGACUCUCAUACAGAGAGAUGUGUGUAAAACAUGGGGGAGGAUUUAGUUUUUUGAGGGUUUGAAUUGAAUUUAUACAACUUAAGUGAUAUGUGAAGGAGUGUAUUGUAUUGUUGUGUUUGUUUUGUUUUAUUCCCGAGGUAUAGGUCUAAUUUCUUGAUCCUUGGUUCUAUGAUGGAGUUGACAGUGAGAUGGGGAGAAUAAACCAAUUUGAAAGAAUAGUUUCAAUAGAAUGUUUUUGAUAUUCUCUGUGAAAUAUGUUUAGAUAUGUGUGUUAAGAAUAAUUGGUAAAAGUAAUCAUUAAAGACAAAUUUGAAU